rnacentral:rRNA from 1 species
CCUACGGGAGGCAGCAGUGGGGGAUAUUGCACAAUGGGGGAAACCCUGAUGCAGCGACGCCGCGUGUGGGAAGACGGGCCUCUGGGUUGUAAACCACUGUCCCCAGGGACAAAGAUGACGGUCCCUAUCGAAUAAGCCACGGCUAACUACGUCCAAGCAGCCGCGGUAAUACGUAGGUGGCAAGCGUUGUCCGGAUUUACUGGGUGUAAAGGGCGUGUAGCCGGGCUGACAAGUCAGAUGUGAAAUCCGGGGGCUCAACCCCCGAACUGCAUUUGAAACUGCUGGUCUUGAGUAUCGGAGAGGCAGGCGGAAUUCCUAGUGUAGCGGUGAAAUGCGUAGAUAUUAGGAGGAACACCAGUGGCGAAGGCGGCCUGCUGGACGACAACUGACGGUGAGGCGCGAAAGCGUGGGGAGCAAACAGGAUUAGAUACCCUAGUAGUC